rnacentral:rRNA from 1 species
UGAGGACAUACCACAUAUAAGAGGUCAUUAUAGACGAAGAAGUUUGGAAAAACUCAUCAUAGAAGGUAAUAAUCCUGUAGUCAAAAUAAUAAUUCUUUAGGUAUGAUCCAGAGUACCACGGGACACGUGAAACCCUGUGGGAAGCAGGAGGGACCACCCUCCAAGGCUAAAUACUACCUAGUGACCGAUAGCGUAUAGUACCGUGAGGGAAAGGUGAAAAGAACCCCGGGAGGGGAGUGAAAUAGAACCUGAAACCCUGCACUUACAAGCUGUGGAAGCACAUUUCUUGUGUGACCGCGUACUUUUUGUAGAACGGGCCAACGAGUUACGUUAAGUAGCAAGGUUAAGCACUUAAGGUGCGGAGCCGUAGCGAAAGCGAGUUUUAACUGAGCGUUCAGUUACUUGACGUAGACCCGAAACCGGGCGACCUACCCAUGAGCAGGAUGAAGCGAAAGUAAAAUUUCGUGGAGGUCCGAACCCACGAGCGUUGAAAAGCUCGGGGAUGACUUGUGGGUAGCGGUGAAAUUCCAAUCGAGCCCGGAGAUAGCUGGUUCUCCCCGAAAUAGCUUUAGGGCUAGCCUCAAGGUGAGAGAUACGGAGGUAGAGCACUGAAUGUCCUAGGGGGUAUUGCACCUACCGAAGACUAUCAAACUCCGAAUGCCGUCAUCUUAUACUUGGGAGUCAGACUGUGGGUGAUAAGAUUCAUAGUCGAAAGGGCAACAGCCCAGAUCGUCAGCUAAGGUCCCUAAAUGUAAGUUAAGUGGUAAAGGAUGUGGGAUUGCACAGACAACCAGGAUGUUGGCUUAGAAGCAGCCACUCAUUCAAAGAGUGCGUAAUAGCUCACUGGUCGAGUGAUCCUGCGCCGAAGAUUUCCGGGGCUAAAACUUACUACCGAAGCUACGGCAUCAGUAAUGAUGGGUAGGGGAGCUUCCCAUACGGGUUGAAGCAUGACCGUAAGGACAUGUGGACAGUAUGGGAGUGAGAAUGUUGGCAUGAGUAGCGAGAUGUGGGUGAGAAUCCCACAGGCCGUAAACCCAAGGUUUCCAGGGGAAGGUUCGUCCGCCCUGGGUUAGUCGGGACCUAAGCUGAGGCCGAAAGGCGUAGGUGAUGGACAACAGGUUGAUAUUCCUGUAC